GACGAACGCUGGCGGCGUGCUUAACACAUGCCAGUCGAACGGAAAGGCCCUGCUUUUGUGGGGUGCUCGAGUGGCGAACGGGUGAGUAACACGUGAGUAACCUGCCCUUGACUUUGGGAUAACUUCAGGAAACUGGGGCUAAUACCGGAUAGGAGCUCCUGCUGCAUGGUGGGGGUUGGAAAGUUUCGGCGGUUGGGGAUGGACUCGCGGCUUAUCAGCUUGUUGGUGGGGUAGUGGCUUACCAAGGCUUUGACAGGUAGCCGGCCUGAGAGGGUGACCGGCCACAUUGGGACGGAGAUACGGCCCAGACUCCUACGGGAGGCAGCAGUGGGGAAUAUUGCACAAUGGGCGGAAGCCUGAUGCAGCAACGCCGCGUGCGGGAUGACGGCCUUCGGGUUGUAAACCGCUUUCGCCUGUGACGAAGCGUGAGUGACGGUAAUGGGUAAAGAAGCACCGGCUAACUACGUG
rnacentral:rRNA from 1 species